UAGGAGCUUAGGCUAAACUUUAAGCCGAGGGCCUUCAAAGCCCUAAAUAAGAGACACCCCUCUUAGUCCCUGA
rnacentral:tRNA from 1 species